GGAAUCCGUAUUGAAUUAGUAUAAUUUUUUGCGGUAAUGAUCAAACAAAAAAUUUUGCUUCAUUUUGCUAGGCUACACUAAACUUAUUGACAGAUGUAUUCAUUAUUUGCUGCUCCUGUUAAAAUUUUCUACACGCCAACACUAUUUGUUAUGUGUACGUGGUUCUUAAGUGCAAGAGACAGCUACAUUUAUGAGCGCCAUAGCAGCUGAAUUGAAUGGUGGCUCAAUAAUGGUACCCGAUGGACUAUCUUUAGCUCUUCUUCCUGAACCACUGUUAUUGUUAUUAAAAAUACAAGACGCUUUAUCACUUGUUCUUUAGCCACAACUAAUUUCCGCGAGAUGAUAAAAGAUGAAUAUAAUAUAAAAGAUAAUUAUAUUUUUAUGAUAAAGUUAUAAAUAAAAUAAAAAACGUUAACAUUGGAGUUUUAUAAUGGAGACAAAAUAACAAUGAUUCCUUUGCGGUGAUAUUUUUUACAGAUCUGAAUGAAUGAAUCGAAAAAAACAUAAUUAUAAUCAU